UACGAAGGGGGCUAGCGUUGCUCGGAAUCACUGGGCGUAAAGCGCACGUAGGCGGAUUGUUAAGUCAGGGGUGAAAUCCUGGAGCUCAACUCCAGAACUGCCUUUGAUACUGGCGAGCUUGAGUUCGGGAGAGGUGAGUGGAACUGCGAGUGUAGAGGUGAAAUUCGUAGAUAUUCGCAAGAACACCAGUGGCGAAGGCGGCUCACUGGCCCGAUACUGACGCUGAGGUGCGAAAGCGUGGGGAGCAAACAGG
rnacentral:rRNA from 1 species